AAUAAUAUCAUUGUUAUUAUUAUUACAUUUUUGUUUGGGGGUUAGGUUUAUGUAGGGGGGACCUUUGCAGGUCACCCUUCGGUUUUGUCCUCUCCUAUGUUAACUGACCUCCUCUCCCCGCUGCAUAAGUGUGCUGUAUAUAAGGGUGCUGUGCCACUGUGUGAUUAGUUGUAGUGGAUAUUGGGGGAGGUGUGUGAGUGCUGUGGGGUUGUUUUGGAGUAGUAUUGGGGAAGGAGAAAUAACACUUGUAGUGGUAGUGUGAUUUACCUGUUGGUGGGAGGGAGGUGGUUGUUGCCUGGGAGUUUGGAGUAUCUGUAACCGAGCCCCAAAUAAAUCUGUGCCAGCUCA